ACUGAAUCUCAUACAGGUUUCCAGAUGCCUAUUAGUUCAAAGAAGUGAAGUUCUUCAAAUAAGUUUCUUGAGCUGCAAAUUUAAUUAAAAUCAUGGCUUGUUUUGUUGAGUUGAAUUUUAAAGGUUUUUGGUGUAUCAAGUUAUUGAAGUAGGUGAGGCGCAGUUAAAUGCUGGAUCUCUUUCAUUCAUAAGCGUCUAAGGUACCAUGACACAAUCAUGGAAAAGUUCUCUAAAGACACUGCAACAUCGGGUCAGGUCCUUAUUCUUGAGUGGAAUAUCAUAGGAGUUUGCACCAAGUAUAACAGCCCCUAUUUGUAACUGCUGAGGAUAUGUGUGUGAGAGAGAAUGCGACAGACGAGUUGUGAUGUGUUUGUGCUGUAAUAUAGUUUUGGAAUGGACCUCUGUUUCAUGGCUUGUUUCUCAAAUGCAAGAUGUGCCCUGGAAGUCCUUUUUCCGAAGCCCUGCUAUCUGGGCAAUGAUAUAUGCUCACUUCUGUGGUAUCUGGGGUCACUACACUUGACUAUCAUGGCUCCCAACAUAUUUUAGGUACCCUUUGAUAAUUUAAUUAUCCACUUGUUGCUACCUUUUGCUUUUCUUCAUUGCAAUCUAACUGACGAGGGAAUUGGUUAACACUUACACAAUUUUGUUCUUUCAUAUACUGUGUUUUUAUGCAUUGUUUAUUGCUGGCCAGAUGUUGAUAAUCACUGACAGCCAUUUGGCCAUCUUUUUU